GCUCCGUUAGCUCAGCUGGAUAGAGCAACUGCCUUCUAAGCAGUGGGUCGCAGGUUCGAAUCCUGCACGGAGCG
rnacentral:tRNA from 1 species